rnacentral:rRNA from 1 species
UACGUAGGGUGCAAGCGUUGUCCGGAUUUAUUGGGCGUAAAGAGCUCGUAGGCGGUCUGUCGCGUCGAUCGUGAAAACUUGGGGCUUAACCCUGAGCUUGCGGUCGAUACGGGCAUGACUGGAGUUCGGCAGGGGAGACUGGAAUUCCUGGUGUAGCGGUGAAAUGCGCAGAUAUCAGGAGGAACACCGGUGGCGAAGGCGGGUCUCUGGGCCGAUACUGACGCUGAGGAGCGAAAGCGUGGGGAGCGAACAGG